rnacentral:sRNA from 1 species
UCGAUUCCCCAAUGGGAAUAGGCAGUCCAGGAGGCGCCAUGUUCUCUUGGCGUCUCCUUGUAUCCAUGUUGCUUGUGAGGAUAUGGCUAUGAGGA